rnacentral:lncRNA from 1 species
ACGUUUACAGUUUAAAGUUGAUGUUUUAGGGUUUAGAUUUGAAGGUUUAGGGUUUAGGGUUUAGAGUUGAUGUUUCGGGGUUUAGGGUUUAGAGUUGAUGUUUCAUAGUUUAGGGUUUAGGGUUGAUGUUUUAAGUUUAGAUUAGUUAACCAUAUGUUUUUUUUGUCAAAGUUAAUCUAAAAGUUAUAAAUGUAUUUUAACUUUCAUUAAAGACGAGGAUAAAAGUGGUUAGUGUAAACAUAAAAAGUGAUACUUUGAAAAUGAUAUUUUUGGCAAUUUCCCUAAAUUUUUUUAUUAUUAAAAAGAUGAGACCUAAUGUUUUAUACAAAUAAAAUGUUAGAGUCAGUAAAUUAACAUCAAAUAAAUUUU